CUACGGGGCGCACCAGUGGGGAAUAUUGGACAAUGGGCGGAAGCCUGAUCCAGCCAUGCCGCGUGAGUGAUGAAGGCCUUAGGGUUGUAAAGCUCUUUCGCUAGGGAAGAUAAUGACGGUACCUAGAGAAGAAGCCCCGGCUAACUUCGUGCCAGCAGCCGCGGUAAUACGAAGGGGGCUAGCGUUGUUCGGAAUUACUGGGCGUAAAGCGCACGUAGGCGGACGAUUAAGUCAGGGGUGAAAUCCCUGGGCUCAACCCAGGAACUGCCUUUGAUACUGAUUGUCUUGAGUCCGAGAGAGGUGAGUGGAAUUCCGAGUGUAGAGGUGAAAUUCGUAGAUAUUCGGAAGAACACCAGCGGCGAAGGCGGCCCACUGGCUCGGCACUGACGCUGAGGUGCGAAAGCGUGGGGAGCAAACAGGAUUAGAUACCCUAGUAGUC
rnacentral:rRNA from 1 species